UACGGAGGGUGCAAGCGUUAUCCGGAUUUACUGGGUUUAAAGGGUGCGUAGGUGGAUAAGUAAGUCAGUGGUGAAAUCUCCGGGCUUAACCCGGAAACUGCCAUUGAUACUAUUUGUCUUGAAUACUUUGGAGGUAAGCGGAAUAUGUCAUGUAGCGGUGAAAAUGCUUAGAUAUGACAUAGAACACCAAUUGCGAAAGGCAGCUUACUACACAGUGAUUGACACUGAGGCACGAAAGCGUGGGGAAGCAAAACAGGGAUUGAGACAUACCCG
rnacentral:rRNA from 1 species